rnacentral:rRNA from 1 species
AGUCACUGACAUUAGAUACCCGCGUAGUCCAGGGUGUAAACGCUGCCGACUUGGUGUUGGAGGCCCUUCGGGGGCAUUCAGUGCCGGAGAGAAGUUGUUAAGUCGGCCACUUGGGGAGUACGUCCGCAAGGAUGAAACUUAAAGGAAUUGGCGGGGAGCACCGCAACGGGAGGAGCGUGCGGUUUAAUUGGAUUCAACACCGGAAAACUCACCAAGGGCGACUGUUACAUGAAAGCCAGGCUAAUGACCUUGCUUGAUUUUCAG